AGAGUUUGAUUCUGGCUCAGAUUGAACGCUGGCGGCGUGCUUAACACAUGCAAGUCGAACGAGAAAGUUCCUUCGGGAAUGAGUAGAGUGGCGCACGGGUGAGUAACGCGUGGAUAAUCUACCGGGGAGUGAGGAAUAACAGUUGGAAACGACUGCUAAUACCGCAUACGCUGCAUAUUAUGAUUUAUGCAGGAAAGGAGGCCUCUGCAUAUGCUUCCGCUUUUCGAUGAGUCCGCGUCCCAUUAGCUGGUUGGGGGGGUAACGGCCCACCAAGGCGACGAUGGGUAGCUGGUCUGAGAGGAUGAUCAGCCACACUGGGACUGGAACACGGCCCAGACUCCUACGGGAGGCAGCAGUGGGGAAUAUUGCGCAAUGGGCGAAAGCCUGACGCAGCGACGCCGCGUGAGGGAUGAAGGUUCUCGGAUCGUAAACCUCUGUCAGAAGGGAAGAAAUUAUAUCAUGCUAAUCAGUGGUGUAUUGACGGUACCUUCAAAGGAAGCACCGGCUAACUCCGUGCCAGCAGCCGCGGUAAUACGGAGGGUGCGAGCGUUAAUCGGAAUUACUGGGCGUAAAGCGCACGUAGGCUGUAUGACAAGUCAAGGGUGAAAUGCCACGGCUCAACCGUGGAACUGCCUUUGAAACUGUCAAACUGGAGUAUGUGAGAGGGCGGCGGAAUUCCUGGUGUAGGAGUGAAAUCCGUAGAUAUCAGGAGGAACAUCAGUGGCGAAGGCGGCCGCCUGGCACAAAACUGACGCUGAGGUGCGAAAGCGUGGGUAGCAAACAGGAUUAGAUACCCUGGUAGUCCACGCUGUAAACGAUGGAUACUAGGU
rnacentral:rRNA from 1 species